AAAAAUGAAUUAAGCACGUUUGCUUUAAGAGAUUUAUUCGAGCUCAACACCGGGCCAACCUUGGAGAUCACUUAACUGGGCUCGUAUAUAACUAGUGUUUGCUCCAGGAUAGGACUGAGAGGCAAGAUCAGUACUUUGGAAUCCAAUCAAAAAUACUUUGCGAAGCAUUUCCCAAAGUUCCUCAUUUGAUUCGCAGCUCUCCAUUGAGGUAGAACUGUUUUGUAUAAUAUCAAUUGCAGCAAGUAGAUGUUU